GUCGAGCUCGAAAAACGUGACUUUGCUGCAUAGCGACAGCACCAUCCGCUCAGCCGGCCGCAGUGUCCACGCUGCCCUCACCUCGGGUCAGCGGGCUGGUUUUCCAGGACCCAGCGGGGCCGCACUUCGGGACCGGGUGGCACGUUUUAAACAGCUCCCUCCGAGUGCUCUCUUCUAGUUUGGUGAGGAGCCCCUUGUCCCUUAGGGCUCUUCAUAGUCUGGCCGCUGAUUGUGCCCCUCAGGGUGGCAUUUAACAUGUCACUCGGCCCCCUGUGUCCUGCACGCUGGAGCGUGGCUCAGUAGGCCUGAUCGGACACAGCUUUGACUGGGUGGGUUUUCUUCCUAUGGCUGCUUUGUGGAUGGCAGUGCCUUCUUCCAUAAGGAAGCACGCAGCGUGUGUGACGUGAGCAACUGCAGACCGUCGCGCCCCGAUCCCGAACUCAGGACGGUGAAGUCCAAACCUUCCCGCCCUGCCGCUGUUCCCGCAGCCAUUAGCUGGCGUGGCUUGAGGCAGAAACUCGCCCUCUCGGCCCUUUGGCCUCCCUGGGCUAGACUGGACUGGAAAUGUCGCGCUCUCUCCCUUGUUUACUGGUUUUCAAAGCGGCGAGCUGAGUCACUGGGCCUGAGUCACUGAGUCACAUUUGUUUUGUCUGAGUACCACUGUGACCUCAUCGCGGGCUGGGACCAUGUUCUGCGUCCCGGUCAUUGCUGUCGCCAUCCUCAGUGGUGCAUGAGCUGCCCCGUCUCUGGCCAGGUCGCCUCUUCACACGGGCUCCUGAUAUGGGUGCUGGGACCUGAAGGGACUCCGAGCUCCCUGGCUAUGUGGGAGGCCGAGCUGCGGCCAGCGCUUCCUUCCAGGAGGCCUGGCGCCCCUCGGGGAACCUGGUAUUUCAAGGCUUCCAUCAGCUGCCUUGUGCCCAGCGCUCCUGGCUCAGCCACUGUGCUGGCCUCUCCACAGACAGCCAGGGAAGGUGGGAAGAUACGUACUUCGUAAGUUCACACAUUUCAGUUCAGAGUCUGAGCUGCGAGGGUUUUCUUUAACUUCUGUCUCACAUCUGUGUCGCCUCCCUUCCCUCCCAAGAGCCCAGUUCUCAAAGCCCCUGGAAAUGUUAGAAUUUCCUAAAUUACUCAUAUGCUUUGCCCCACUUCACACGUAGGACAAGGUCGGCACGCCCAGCCAUGGGGUGACGGCUGGCAGUCACAUUUGUUCCCAAUUCUUUUGUCUUUACUGUGUGUUCCACUGGUGACUGUUUUACAGUCACAGCCACAAACUGUGAACACAUUUGGGUCCAAUUUUCUUGUUCUAUAUUCAAUUUUAGGGGAGUUUUAAAAAUUAAGUUCUAAAAUUAGAUACACUAAAUACGGCGGUUCCAAAGUCUGUACAAUGAGGCAUAUUCUGAGACCAGCUGGGGCCACUGCCCCUGCCGGCACCCACCAGCCCUCCCCCUGGAGGACGGAUUUGCUGUUGACCCUUUUUCUCAUAGAUGUGUUCCCACAGGCACACAACGUGUUCUCGCUUUGCCUGUUGAUUUUUUUGUUGGUGUUUUUAGCUGAACCAGCUCGGGCCGGGCAUCGAACCGGCGACCCUGUUGCUCAGAGCUCACACUCUUGAGUGAGCUCUUAACCAACUGAGCCACUCGGCCAGCCCACCCUGUUGAUUUCAGAGUUGAGGAGCUUUUGUGUUUUGUUGUAAUUGUUACCUUUACACGCACCCUCUUACACCUACCCAGCCUCUUCGUGGUGACUGUCCCCUGCUCUGAGCAGUGCAGACAUUAGCCAGUAGCCUACCUUUCUUCCUCGACUUCUUGUCCCGCAGCAUCUGAUUGGAAGUGAUGGCCUCUUACAGCUUCGAGGCAGCCAACAGGCUUGUUUGGCCUUUCAUCUGCUUUCUCCGCAUUUUAGUCGUCUGUGCUGUAUAACAGAUCAUCACACACUUAGCAGCUCAAACACCCACUUAGUACGUCACAGUUUCUGUGGGUCAGGGGUCUGGACACGACCUGACGGGGUCCUCUGCUCGGGGCCUCACAGGCGGCGUCACGGUGUCGGCGGGCUGCGUCCUCGCUGGGGAAGGGCCCUCUUCCUAGCUCAUUCCAGGUGCUGCCAGAAUUUUCUUCAUCAUUAGAGGACUAAGGUCCCUGUUUUCUUGCUGGCUGUCAACCAGGGACCCCUCUCGGCUCCUAGAGGCCACUACAGUCCCCGCCCACGUACCCCCUAAGCUGCUACACCCCUGCGCACUCUCGUGUGACAGUGGUCUCCGUGUGACGAGAGCCGAGGGGCUCUGUCUGCCAGGUAGGGUGUGAAACGGUGUGAAAUGCAGACUCGGGCUGCCCCGCAACACGCACUCGGCACGGAGCGCUCGGAGGUGGUGAGGUGCCCGCAGACCCCUACGUACGUACGUAGUUCUAUCCGUAGGUGCAUGCGUGCGUACGGCCGUAUGGAGAGCUGGGGCAGCUGCCUCUGGCUUGGCUUUAGCAGCAGGUCGCCUCGGGUGCCGUGAGCAGCCAAAGGCCCUGUGGCCGCCUGAUUGACACACCUCGUGCCUCUCUCGCGUUUCAGGCGUGGAAAGCCCACCUGAUGGGCGCUGCCGGCUGCACGAUGAACCUGCGCAGGACACACGUGCUGCACAAGCCUGCCGCUCUGCCGCCAGGUAAAGGCCCAGCCACGACCAAAUCAGGGACCUCAGGGCCGAAGGUUGGGAGCAAGAUCCCCACCCCAAAGGGAGGCCUGAGUCGAAGCUCUGGCAGGACAUACACAAAGCGAUGACGUGACAGGCCUGUCUCCUUCGUCUCCGUAUGGGACUGAGCAAGGGUCCUGAUUGCGAAUCGCUUCUCCUAAAAGCUGUCCUCGGCUCCUGGCCGGGCUGCUCACUCAUGGGCACCGUGUGUGGGACCGACUGAAGAGCCCGCCUCCCAGGGUUGGACCCUGAGCUCCGUAGCUGCAAGCUGUCAGGCCUCUGACUUUCGCAGGCCUCGGCAGCAACAGAAGAGUCAUCCUGUUGGAAGAAAAUCUGAAGCCGUGGCCCCGGAACUCCAUGGAAAGCGUUUGCCAGGGUCCAGUCAGCAUGCGGAGGGCGUGGCACGAGCAUAGACCCCCACCUCUCAGCUGCUUGGACAGAUUUCCGUAAAAACUUCACUGUAAACCUUUGCACACUGGUCGUCUCACACGUGCAGAACUUCCCGAGGCUUUGGCUCACUGGACCAUGUAACGGGGCAGGAAGUGAGCGUGCACGGGUAUCGCCCCCACCUUCUCCCUCACAGCGUCCGCAGAACCCAUGUUUCCAUUAUACCGAGAAAUAAAGGUUAAAAACAGUGGUUGCUGAGAACUGGACCCCCUCCAGGACUCACAUUGUCUGUUCCGGCCUGUCCUGCUGUCCCUCAAAACCAUGUUGAAAUUGGAACAGCAACGUCGCUUUUCUCGAACACCUCGUAUGAUGCUAAAAACCAAAACGCCACUUAAAAUGAUGAACCCACACCCCAAAAUCCAGUCUCCUUCCCAGCUCCUGACCAGCCUUCCUACCCCCUGGAAGUAGUUCGACGUUCAUCGCUGGGUAGCCCUGGGGAAAAGCCAGUGUUUGCCUGAGAUCUGCCUGGAAACGCCUGGCGUCUUCCUGCCCACACCUGCGCCCCCCCAGGCGCCCAGUCCACUAGACCCAAGGAAGCCAGCCCUCCCCGCCCCGUGCUGUGACCAGGGUCACGCGGUGCUUUCCUCCUGAGCACUCUGCAGGCAGCUUUCAGAGUGCCCGCGAGAAGUGCGUGGGGCUGAUGAAAUGUGUCCUGCAUCAUCAGUGUGUAAACAUGUUCAUUCCCACCAUGUGAAACAAAACAUAAAACAGUAAUAGCUGAUCCGCGUGCUCCCCGGCUAUGUUAGUGACCGUGAAUUUGCACUAAUCAGCCUCCACAUUUGGUAAACUAAUACCGUCCGCUAUGGUUGACUCAAUACAAGCAGGAAUAAAUCUGACCAACAGAAUUACCUUUGAAUAUAUAUAUACUAAAAAGUAAAGAAGUAUGGGAGAGUAAUAAUGGAAGACUUGACUAGACAAAGCAGAGUACAGAUGCCCAGAUAAUUAUGAAAAGAUCCUUUCUGGCUUCAAAAAGAUGUUGGCCAUUACUUUCUCUUUUUCUAAUUUAUUUUUUUAUUUAAGUGUAGUUGGUAUCCAAUAUUACAAUAUUAUUGACUGUACCCCCCUUCCCCUUUUCACCCAUCCCCCAAUCCUGGUCAUUUUCUAAUCCAUUUUUGAAAUACAGAUGAUACACUUUUUUAAACAGAACAAUAAUGAGAAAAGUUAACCAGGAAAUUAUUCUUUUCUCUCCAGUCUGAAUUAAGAAAUAUAUACAUAGUGUUUUCUGUAUAUUUUAACUUUUAAAAGAUACUUGUAAAAAAAUUUAACUUGUAGUGAUGGACCAAAUUGGGUACAUUUAAAACAGGUUUGUCUUGCUGGUCACAGAAGAAUCAUGUGUUACUGUUAAAAUGAUUCCUUGCAGUGAUUAGUAUGAAAAGCUUUACAGAGAAAUAUAUACUAUUAAGGAACUAAGAAUAAAGGAUAAAAAUGUAAAAGGAAUUGUCAGCUCUGUUGGCAUUCAUAAAGAAGUAUCUAAAUUAGGAACAGUAAUUAGUAAUUGAAUUUUUACUCAAAUAUGUUAUGGGUAUUUAACAAUAUUUAUUUCUAUUUUCAUAUUUCAAAAUAUUCUAUGUAACUUAAAAGAAUUGUAUCUAUAAAUUUGGUAUCAGAAUACGAAUGUAAAUACUUUUAAUGAAAAUUUGCAACUUUUUAAUGUUUUAACAUAGUUUUCUAUUUGUCUUUAUUUCAGGUACCAGAAUGAUAAACUAAGUUAAUAUAUUUUUGUUGUUUUGGGACAGUCAGUUCACCCUGAGUAUAUUAAUAUAAUAAAAAGGUCACUAAAUACUUGUCACUUUUAUUUCGAGAUUAUAAUUAGAAAGCAAUGUGUAGGUUACAGUCACCUCCUAAACGUGCGGAUGUGAGGGCAGGCGGGGGAUCGCUGACAGGGGCCGUGAAAGAGUACAGAGUCUGGGUCCCAAAAUAAGGAAUUUGUCCAGACGAGUUUACUGCGGAAGCUGAAAGAUUUUAAGCUACAAAUGAACUAGAGGAAAUUGUUGACCAAUUUCACCCUGUGGAAUAAAUCGGAAUGCUCUAAUUGUGCCCUUUAGAGAAUUAUA